rnacentral:rRNA from 1 species
UACGGAGGGUGCAAGCGUUGUCCGGAUUUAUUGGGUUUAAAGGGUGCGUAGGUGGUUUGAUAAGUCUGGUUUGAAAGCAAGCGGCUUAACCGUUUGAUGUGGCUGGAAACUGUUGAACUUGAAUGCGUUGGCGGUAGCCGGAACGGGUCAUGUAGCGGUGAAAUGCAUAGAUAUGACCCAGAACACCGAUUGCGAAGGCAGGCUACUACGACGUGAUUGACACUGAGGCACGAGAGCAUGGGUAGCGAACAGG